CCUAGGCCUCCCCUCACACAUGUACCAGCUUGAUCUUCAUAUCUACAAAAUAACUUGAGGCACCAGCAAGUCUCAUGAGGCUGCUGGGUGAGCAUCUUCACAUAAAGGAGCUGCUUUGUAGUUGUCACCAAAAUGGCGUGCUUACCUCUUAACAUGGAACCUGAAGUAGGGUAUCCUACUUAGCAAACCAGUCUUCAUAACUAAGUCAAGAUACUAAGAAAAUGAGGAGUGCCUCAUUUACAUCACACAGACUAGUCACCGGGGCAGACAUACAAACUGUGGCGAAGAACAAAGAUCUGGGAGGGCCACCUGAGGGUGCACACGGCACGGUGUAGUUUGCAAAGGGUUGCAAGCUGGCCUCAAGUUUCGAGCCUCCUGAGUGAUGGCAUCGCAGCUGAGCACCCUGUUGCACCCUGUGAAGAAGAAAAAUAAAAUCUCAAUUCUGAUGUUCUUGUUUUCAUCCAUGGGGAGGCCUGGCAUUGAGAGGUUGGGGAGUGUGCACAAGUUCAAUCCUGAGCACCCAUACAAUAUAAAUCACAACCACCUAAAACUCCAGCUGCAAGGAGAGCCAACACUUCUAGCCUCUGCAGG
rnacentral:sRNA from 1 species